CUAUAUUUGAGAUAUGUAAUCUCCUAUAUCUAAAAAGCAUUAUUGCUACCUGGUUGAGCUCCAGUUCCGCUUCCUGGGUGAUUGGUACCAUCCUCCGCAUCGUGUAUGGACUGGGGCUCUUCCUCCUGUUCUUUCCCUGCCCCAAAAGGAAUUUGCCCUUACAACUAACUUACAAAAGGAGAAACGCCAGGAAGCAUCAAGUGGAGCCGAGAGGGAGGAGCAGCAGGAGCAGGAAGAAAAGGGGAGCUUUGAAAGCUUACAGAGCUGGCCGGAAGGACCUGGCAGAAGUGGGGGGCCUGAUGUCCCUUUUGCAAAGCUCCCCGGGGAGGCUGUCUUGUAAGGGAUGCUUCCAUCGCUUGUCAUCUCAAGACUCCCCUGGGGAGGCGUGCAAGACAUCGUCUGCUAGAGUCCGCCUUCCAUGCGGGAAGCCUGUGGAAGGUGCUCCUCUCACCACGACUCCAGCACUUUCCCUGGCUCUUCUGACCCAGCACACUCUACCUUUGGCCUCCACUCUGCCAGCAGAACCUCCAUCGGCCUUGACCAGAACUCCCCUAGGCCCUGUUGCCACGAACUCAGCUCCAGUUCACUCCUGUUGGCCGUUUCCCAACUCAGGCCACGGCCGCAUGAGCUGUCGCAUUGAGUUCCUCUCCCGGUGGAACAUAAUCAAGGUCUUGUUCUUCCCCAGGUCAUCACACUUCAAGUCCCAGCAAGGGCACCUGUCCUGCCACCGACCAGUGGCCUCAUUCUGGGGAGGCCCCACAAAUAGGGAGGGAGAGACUGAUAGCCCCUCAGUUGCCAACCCUGAUGUCUGGAAGCUGCUCGAGACAGAAAUCACGGAAAGAAUACAAACGGAGGUCUGGGAAAAAGAAGAACAAGAUGAUCCAGGCACUCCUCAGAUGCUUGAAGCACACGGUAUCAUGUCUGGGCUGAAUUUCCGCUGGGGCCUACCCCUCCUGUCCUUGGGGCCUGCAGAUCUGAAAGCAUGUGAGGCUCAACCCUCGGUCCUUCCAUGGCCCCCUUUGCCCCCCGCAGCCACCUGUGAUUCUGGGGCCCCCUCGAAAGCUGAUUUUGCACACUUCAUUGGAAAACCUCUUGAGACUCCUCCGGGUGACAAAGUCUUAACUUUGACAACAAAAGCAUCAGUUCCCAGCCUGGCCCCUCCCCUCCCUGCUCCCUCACCUGUGUGUGAGGAAAAUCAGAAGGCCCUGGGAGGGACCCUACCUGGCGAUGGCAGUGGGCCCUCAGAAGCCUCUCUCUUUGGACAGAAGGGCCGGCCGCCUUCUCCAACCUUCCCAUUCAGCCUCUCAGAGAGAAAAGGGCAGAGUGGGACCUUCGUGGGGGCUGAGCAAGGCCAUCUAGAGCUGAGUUCAGGGUCCCCAGUGGCCAGGAAUGAGCCUCAGGAGGAGAGGAGGGGUGGAGCCUCACCAGAGCCCUGCCGUGGGGUGGCAACACUGGAGGGGGAGUCAGGGUCCCAGUCUUGGAGCCAGGUCGGGGUAAUAGGAGACACCCUCGGGACCAAACCCCUCAAGCCCCUGCCUGAAAAGGAAGAGGUUUUUCACGAAAGCCCUUUCAGAAAAAUGUUGAGAUGCCUCCUGCCCUGCCUGAGGCCCAACAAGGAGGAAGCACCAGAGGAUCCCCUUGCAAAGGCAAGCCGGAGUCAGCCACCACCCAGAGCCAGGCAAGGGUCACACACAGCUCGGCGUCGGAUGGCAGGGCUGUUCAGGCGCCAUCGACAGUGACAUCCUUUGUCUGCGUCCUGGGAGAGAAACUGAGGCUUGCCGAGAACUUCUGGCCUCCCAGUCGAAGCAUCAUAAAAACCAUUUCAGGCCUGGGAAGCUGGACAUACCUGUUACCACGACGUUCCCUCCUCUCCAGACCAGAGAAGAACAAUGACAGAGGACAGUCCCCAACCUACCUCCAGGGACCACAACUGUCCAACUAUGAGUGAAUGGAUCAGAACAGGCAUGGCAACUGGACCUUGCCAUCCAGGCAGCUGCGGUCCCCAGCCAAACCCUGCCAGCCUGGGCUGAGGGUGGCAGCUGCCUCAGCCAAUCCAUUACCCGCCAUGCUGUCCUCAGAUAUGUGUCUCCUGGGAUGAGUAGACUGUGCCUGACACACCUUUCCUCAUAGGAACGCUUAUCUCCCCAAACGGGGAAGUGGAGGAACAGAAAACCUGGUUUUUCUCCUUAUCCCACCCUCUGUACUAAUGGUGUCUUCCUACCCCAAUUUUCCCCAAAUACACUUUUUUUCUCCUUAGAGGUCAUGACUUCUGUCUGUGCCCUGCUAGUGGUAAAAACAGGGUCAGGCUCCGCCCUUCCUGAGUGUCUGCUUUGGCUUCCAGAAGGGUCAGGGCCAUGGGGGGAGGCUGACUGCAGCGUGGCUCACCUGCCCUCACUCCAACUCCCCCACUGCACCUGAAGUCCCCAUCACACCGUCCUUACAAAAACAAACGGAAGCUUUGGGCUGUUUCCAGAUGAGCAAAACCUCUAAGACCCCAGCCCAGGAUGGGCCCCGCCUGUCCUCUCCUGCGUUCUCUGGCCCUGGAACUUGUGGGGCUGUAGGGAGGGGGUUUGCAGAGGCUCCAGGAAGUGUAGAGACAGG
ensembl:lncRNA